UCCGUAGGCGGGCUAAUAAGUCAGGGGUGAAAUCCCACAGCUCAACUGUGGAACUGCCUUUGAUACUGUUAGUCUUGAGUUAUAUGGAAGUAGAUAGAAUGUGUAGUGUAGCGGUGAAAUGCAUAGAGAUUACACAGAAUACCGAUUGCGAAGGCAGUCUACUACGUAUAUACUGACGCUAAUGGACGAAAGCGUGGGGAGCGAACAGGAUUAGAUACCCUGGUAGUCC
rnacentral:rRNA from 1 species